CUGAGCAGAUGGGCUUUGACCCCAUAAACUCCUAGUUAACAGCUAGGCGCUUAACACCAUCAAGCUCCUGCCCA
rnacentral:tRNA from 1 species